rnacentral:rRNA from 1 species
CGGCACCAGCUCAAAUUUGAAAUCUGGCCCUUCGGGGUCCGAGUUGUAAUUUGUAGAGGAUGUUUCGGGUACCGCUCCGGUUUAAAUUUCUUGGAACAGAAUGUCAGAGAGGGUGAGAAUCCCGUCUUGGACCGGCGUAGGGCCCAUGUGAAACUCCUUCGAC